rnacentral:tRNA from 1 species
GGAAGUCAUCCGGCUGGAUGAGGGCCCGGUCUUGAAAACCGGUGGUGCUGCAUAGUGCUUGUGGGUUCGAGUCCCACGGCUUCCGC